GACAGAGGGUGCAAACGUUGUUCGGAAUUACUGGCGUAAAGCGCGUGUAGGCGGCUCGGCAAGUCGGAUGUGAAAGCCCUGGGCUUAACCUAGGAAGUGCAUUCGAAACUGCCAAGCUUGAGUUCUGGAGAGGAAGGCGGAAUUCUCGGUGUAGAGGUGAAAUUCGUAGAUAUCGAGAGGAACACCGGUGGCCGAAGGCGGCCUUCUGGACAGCAACUGACGCUGAGACGCGAAAGCGUGGGGAGCAAACAGG
rnacentral:rRNA from 1 species